rnacentral:tRNA from 1 species
GCCACUGUAGCUCAGUUGGUAGAGCAGCUGUUUCGUAAACAGCAGGUCGCCAGUUCAAUCCUGGCCGGUGGCU